rnacentral:rRNA from 1 species
GACGAACGCUGGCGGCGUGCUUAACACAUGCAAGUCGAACGGAAAGGCCCUGCUUUUGUGGGGUGCUCGAGUGGCGAACGGGUGUGUAACACGUGAGUAACCUGCCCUUGACUUUGGGAUAACUUCAGGAAACUGGGGCUCAUACCGGAUAGGAGCUCCUGCUGCAUGGUGGGGGUUGGAAAGUUUCGGCGGUUGGGGAUGGACUCGCGGCUUAUCAGCUUGUUGGGGGGGUAGUGGCUUACCAAGGCUUUGACGGAUAGCCGGCCUGGGAGGGUGACCGGCCACAAUGGGACUGAGAUACGGCGCAGACUCCAACGGGAGGCAGCAGUGGGGAAUUUUGCACAAUGGGCGGAAGCCUGAUGCAGCAACGCCGCGUGCGGGAUGACGGCCUUCGGGUUGUAAACCGCUUUCGCCUGUGACGAAGCGUGAGUGACGGUAAUGAGUAAAGAAGCACCGGCUAACUACGUG